ensembl:antisense Gm12406 predicted gene 12406
GAGGGCUGCAGUCAGCCAGUCCAGGAGACCUGCAGAGGUGCCAGCUCACACAGAGGGAACUUUGUGGAGGCUCUGGCAGGAACGUGUGGGUUCUGUAUACCCAAGGCUGUGUGCCUAGGUGUACCUUUCCCUGGGACUUUGCCUCUCUGGAUCAGUGUUGGUCACAGGGUUGUGCAUGGCUUGCUGGAGGGAACUUGAGACACCUGAAGAAUGGCCCAGCUCUGGCUGAACUAGAUCCAGACGGCAUGGAUGGCCUGACUCUCCAUCCUAACAGUUCUGAGACCAAGGUAGCUUGGACAGGAGCAGUCAAGUAGGCCUUCCCCUCUCAGACCCUUAAGUAGCAGGGCUCACACAUGCAAGGAGCUACAUUUCUGGCCCUUUAGUGAUUCUUAAGUGUACUUGUGUGUGGCUUCUAUCACAUAUUGUCCAUGGACAGUCAGAGACCCAUGGCCCCACAUCCAGCCUUAACUUCCCUCAGAAUACUAUACUCACAGCAAAAUGCAUACUGGAGUCACAGUGGUGUUGGUUCCUGGUUCCACUUUCUAACUCUCUUAAACGAAGCUUUCUUCUCAAUAAAACUGUCAUAGUAAUAGCUACUUCUUAGGUUCUCACUAAUUCAUUUAUACCAUACCAACCACAUCUCAGCAAAUGUCAGCUGACAAGCCAAGACCAGGUGGCUAAGGGGCAGGGCUCCUCC